GUGGCUUUGCUUGGUUUUUAUUGGUUUACACAGUCUCAUACCAUGUGUUGAACUAUUUAAAGUGAAGCCAGAAAAUUGUUUCUCUCGCUAUCCAGUGCUUCAAUUGUGGAGCAUUUGGACGUUGGGAAACUACAUCU